GCAUAUCAAUAAGCGGAGGAAAAGAAACCAACAGGGAUUGCCUCAGUAGCGGCGAGCGAAGCGGCAACAGCUCAAAUUUGAAAUCUGGCUUCGGCCCGAGUUGUAAUUUGUAGAGGAUGUUUUUGGCAAGGCCCCUUCUGAGUCCACUGGAACGUGGCGCCAUAGAGGGUGAGAGCCCCGUAUAGUAGGAUGCCGAGCCUGUGUAAAACUCCUUCGACGAGUCGAGUAGUUUGGGAAUGCUGCUCUAAAUGGGAGGUAAAUGUCUUCUAAAGCUAAAUAUUGGCCAGAGACCGAUAGCGCACAAGUAGAGUGAUCGAAAGAUGAAAAGCACUUUGAAAAGAGGGUUAAAUAGCACGUGAAAUUGUUGAAAGGGAAGCACUUAUGACCAGACUUGUGCCGGGUUGAUCAUCCAGUGUUCUCACUGGUGCACUCUUCCCGGUUCAGGCCAGCAUCGGUUCUGACGGGGGCAUAAAGGCGGUGGGAACGUAUCUCUUUCGGGAGUGUUAUAGCCCAUCGUGUAAUAUCCCCGUUGGGACCGAGGACCGCGCUUCUGCAAGGAUGCUGGCGUAAUGGUCAUCAGUGACCCGUCUUGAAACACGGACC
rnacentral:rRNA from 1 species